rnacentral:rRNA from 1 species
GACGAACGCUGGCGGCGUGCCUAACACAUGCAAGUCGAACGGGGCAGAGAGCUUCGGCUUUCUGCUUAGUGGCGAACGGGUGAGUAACGCGUGAGGAACCUGCCUCUCAGUGGGGGACAACAGUUGGAAACGACUGCUAAUACCGCAUAACACAGCGAAACCGCAUGGUUUUGCUGUCAAAGCUUUAUGUGCUGAGAGAUGGCCUCGCGUCUGAUUAGCUAGUUGGCGGGGUAACGGCCCACCAAGGCGACGAUCAGUAGCCGGUCUGAGAGGAUGAACGGCCACAUUGGGACUGAGAUACGGCCCAGACUCCUACGGGAGGCAGCAGUGGGGAAUAUUGGGCAAUGGGGGAAACCCUGACCCAGCAACGCCGCGUGAAGGAAGAAGGCCUGGUGUAACGUCUUUAGUCAGGACGAA